CUGCAGUCUUCCCUCAUCUUCUUUGCGGCUUCAGCAAUCUCAAACAGCCACUGGGAGUAGGGGAGAGAUAUAUGGAGCCACCAACUUCCCAGGUGAUGUCAAGCAGAGACGACCCCCAAGAUCAAAUCAUCAACGCAGGUUGUUCCUGCUGCUAUGACUGCCUGACGAGCUGCUUCGACUACAUCUGCUGCUACUGCCUCUGGGACUGCUAGGCUUGGCAGAGAGUGAACCCAUGGCCCGACUCAUCAUCUCCUUCUUUGUGCUUGCGCUCUUUCUCCCCGUCACAGUGAAGAUGGAGUGAGUGGGUUCAUCCAUACCCAUGCAAUCUUCUGUGUUUUCCGCAACGGUAACCGCUACAAGUCAUCAUC